rfam:Photobacterium halotolerans strain S2753 contig0007, whole genome shotgun sequence.
GAAAACGGAAGAGGCGCGUUAUCCAGGUAUCUAUGCGGCGGGGCCCCACCCCAAAGCACCAUAGAGAGGGGGAGCAACGCCGAGAUACGGUAAGACAGGGGGCUUGCCGUAUCGGCUUUGAAGGUUGAAUCCUUCUGGCUGUCACCUGCAGCAUCAAGCACAGGUGGAGAGCUUCUGGUCGC